rnacentral:rRNA from 1 species
UACGUAGGGUGCGAGCGUUGUCCGGAAUUAUUGGGCGUAAAGAGCUCGUAGGCGGUUUGUUGCGUCUAUCGUGAAAACCUGCAGCUUAACUGUGGGCUUGCGGUGGAUACGGGCAGACUUGAGUUCGGUAGGAGAGACUGGAAUUCCUGGUGUAGCGGUGAAAUGCGCAGAUAUCAGGAGGAACACCGGUGGCGAAGGCGGCUCUCUGGGACGGUACUGACGCUGAGACGCGAAAGCGUGGGGAGCGAACAGG